GUCUGCUACCUCUUACCCAUGUCUUUUGAGUACCUUCGUUUCCUCGGCGGGUCCGCCCGCCGAUUGGACAACAUUCAAACCCUUUGCAGUUGCAAUCAGCGUCUGAAAAAACAUAAUAGUUACAACUUUCAACAACGGAUCUCUUGGUUCUGGCAUCGAUGAAGAACGCAGCGAAAUGCGAUAAGUAGUGUGAAUUGCAGAAUUCAGUGAAUCAUCGAAUCUUUGAACGCACAUUGCGCCCCUUGGUAUUCCAUGGGGCAUGCCUGUUCGAGCGUCAUUUGUACCUUCAAGCUCUGCUUGGUGUUGGGUGUUUGUCUCGCCUCUGCGUGUAGACUCGCCUUAAAACAAUUGGCAGCCGGCGUAUUGAUUUCGGAGCGCAGUACAUCUCGCGCUUUGCACUCAUAACGACGACGUCCAAAAGUACAUUUUUACACUCUUGACCUCGGAUCAGGUAGGGAUACCCGCUGAACUUAAGCAUAU
rnacentral:rRNA from 1 species